UACGUAGGUGGCAAGCGUUGUCCGGAUUUACUGGGCGUCAAGAGCGCGCAGGCGGUCGUUCAAGUCGCGUGUGAAAGCCCCCGGCUCAACUGGGGAGGGUCACGCGAUACUGAUCGACUCGAAGGCAGGAGAGGGUAGUGGAAUUCCCGGUGUAGUGGUGAAAUGCGUAGAUAUCGGGAGGAACACCAGUGGCGAAGGCGACUACCUGGCCUGUUUCUUGACGCUGAGGCGCGAAAGCUAGGGGAGCAAACAGG
rnacentral:rRNA from 1 species